UCCAAUGUGGUCUAGUGGCUAGGAUUUGCCGCUCUCAUGAAAGCACCGGCAAGGCCGGGGUUCGAUUCCCCGCAUUGGAA